ACAAUUUCCCUCUGGGAUCAAUAAAGGAUUCUGAUUCUGAUAAGCCCGGGCUUCACUUAGUUUAGUUGCGAAGUAUUGCUUCAUUCAUGGAUACACUGAGCGUAUCUUCUGUUUACUACUCCUUGUGUAUGACCUUUUGCCUGUUUACCUGGACUGUGAUUUUUGCUUUGUUAUUUGGAUUCUGGUUGCUUGUUUUUGACUCUGUGCUUUGGACUACUCUAUUUGUGAAUUUGACCUUGUUUUUCGGAUUACCCUUUUGCUUGCCUGUUGGAAUGAUCACAACCGUGAUCAUUUCUGCCUUCCUGGUUUUGACACAAGAUCGGUCUUUUGUAAAUAAUUUUUACGGAGUUCCACGUUCAUCCGAAUUCCACUGAAUCCUCACAGAAUACUUUGCCUAACAUCCAGACGGCAGGUUCUGAAGUUUUCCAGAAGGCUUUAUUAGAGCAAGGGCAACUAUUGGAUCAACAUCAGCAAGUACUAACCAGAGUAACUCAAUUGUUGGCUUCCCUGGCUCAACAGCAAGCGGAACAACCGACUCAGUUAGCUCAACUCAUCGCCAGUGUAUGGGGACUGACCAGGCAGCUUCAAGCUAUGAAUCUCACCAAGCAUUUGGCUACCAAGGGAAUUCAGACUGCUGUAGAGAACCAAGCCACUUCCAUUUAUCCAGUUAGUAAGCCUGUUAAGUCCUCUGGGGACCCAGAUAAGUGUAGGGGGUUCUUAUUACAGUGCUCCGUUUACUUCGAUAACUUGCCAGCUAGUCAUGAUCUAAAAUAUCCUUUGUAGUAUCUAGACUAGCAGAUCGAGCCUUAGAAUGGGCUACAGCCAGCUGGGCAAGCAUUCGCCAUCUGACUUAUAGCCAAUUCAUUAAGGAGUUUAAAACUGUGUUUAACCAUCCCUACGAAGGAUAAAUUAGUGGGGAGAUUCUGUCUAAGUUAAAAAGGUAAUCAUUCUGUGGUUGAGUAUGCUUUGGACUUUCGUACGUUAGCCACCAGCAGCGGUUAGGAUGAGGCUGCCCUAUUAUUCAUCUUCAGACAAGGUUUGAAGGAGGACAUAUUAACUGAACUGGCUAACAGAGAUGACAAUUUGUUUCUUGAUCAGUUAAUAACGCUUGCUAUCAAGUUAGACCACCUCCUUAAUCAUCAAAGGAAAAGUCACACUCCCACACGAAGAAUGAUGCCACUUUUGAAGGCAUCAGAAACACCUGAUCUGCGGGAAACUGUGCAGUGUGACUCAUCUCGUUUGUCUAAAUAAGAGAGAAGGCACAUCGGUUCCAGAACCAUCUUUGCAUGUAUUGUGGCCAAGCCGGACACCAAGUCAGAGAUUGUCUCAAACGUCCUCAAUCUCACAAGGCACCAACCCCGGGAAAGCACAUGGAGUUCAAUUCAUGUGCUAAUGUGGUGAGUAUUCCCACAAAGGGGUUGGUCUCAAAAUCUUUGGUUUUACCUGUGACCUUGUACUGGCAGUCUCUGUCUUUUGUCAUUUCAGCCCUGAUUGAUUCUGGAGCCGAAGGGAACUUCAUCCAAGCCAGCCUUGUGGACAGACUUCAAAUCCCUGUGGAAGAACCAUUUACAAGAUCACCACCCCUGUAGAAGUUCAAACCAGUGCCCUUAAAAACCAUAAUGGUUUUGCUUUUAGAACAGUCAGUUUGAAAUUAUCCAAGGAUUUUCUUGGUUAGAGAGACAUAACCCGUCUAUCUCCUGGACUGAGCAUGCUAUAGUUAAGUGGUCAGACUUCUGUUUCAAAUCAUGUCUGUUUACUCUGAUAUCAGUUUGAUCAACAUCUGUAGAAAUCCCUAAUGCUGACACUUAUUUUGAUUUCCCACCUGAAUAUUCAGAUUUAAAAGAAGUAUUCAAUAAACACAAAGCCACAUAAUUACCUCCAGACUGGAGUUAUGAUUGUGCUAUCAAUGUAGUUGAGGACCCUGUUCUCCCCAAAGCCCAGGUGUAUCCAUUAACACAAGAGGAACAGGUUGCUCUAAAUGUUUACAUUAAGGAAGCACUACAACAAGGUUUUAUUAGACCCUCUACAUCUCCGAUCACCUCUAGUUUCUUCUUUAUUAAGAAGAAAGAUGGUGGCUUGCAUCCUUGCAUUGAUUAUAGGGCCCUGAACCAAAUCUCUAAGUCAUAUCCAUAUCCGCUUACUUUAGUGCCUGUGGCUUUAGAGCAAUUACAAGGAGCAGCAUACUGCUUACUUAGCACUUUGCGUAGUGCUUACAAUUUGAUUGGGAUCAAAAGAGGGGGUGAGUGGAAAACUGCAUUUGUGACCACCAGGGGGCACUAUGAAUACCAAGUCAUGCCUUUUGGGCUCUCUAUCACCCCCUCGGUAUUUCAAGCUUUUAUAAAUGAUGUACUUCCAGACAUACUAGGACAAUUUGUAAUCACAUAUCUAGAUGACAUCUUAGUUUAUUCGCCAGUGGUUAACUGGCCUCAACCCAAAAGUGUCAAGGAGUUACAAAGAUUUCUAGGUUUUGCCCAUUUUUAUCGCUGAUUUAGUAGAGACUUCAGUGUAAUCACAGCUCCCCUGACUUCACUAUUAAAAGGGGCCCCCAGAAAAAUGUAAUGGUCCGAGCAGGCAGAUUUGGCUUUGAACCACUUAAUGACAGCGUUUGUUACAGCCCCAAUUAUUCACCAUCCAGACCUCUCUUGACAGUUUAUAGUAGAGGUACACGCCUCUGAAACCGGGAUAGGGGCAGUACUAUCCCAGAGAAUGGGUGACCUGGAGAAGCUGUUUCCCAUUGCCUUUUAUUCCCAUAAACUUUCCCCCACGGAGAAGAAUUACGGUAUAGGUGACAGAGAACUCUUAGCUGUCAAACUUGCAUUAGAGGAGUGGAGACAUUGGUUGGAAGGAUCAUAGUUUCCGCUCAUAGUUCUCACCGGCCACAAAAAUCUAGAAUAUCUACGCACGGCUAGAGAAUACAUUUGUGUCAGGCCUGCUGGUCUUUGUUUUUCUUACACUUUCGACACUUAUAGACAUCACUUAUAGACCAGGAUCCUGGAAUACUAAAGCUGAUGCACUGUCUAGACUCAGGAGGAUGGUGCCUCCAGUAAAACAGUGAACCCAGAACACAUUCUGCCACAAGAAGUCAGCAUUUCCUCCAUAAGAUGGGAGAUAGAUGAGGAAAUUGAACAGGCCCUACAAGACCUCCAAAUACCAGACCAGUGUCCUUCACAGAAAGUGUAUGUGCCCAAAGCCUUUUGUGACCAGCUCAUUACAUGGGCAUAUUCUUCUGUGGCACCUGGACAUCCUGGAAAGACAAGAAUGCAGAAAUUACUGACGCAAAUGUAUUGGUGGGAAUCCAUGAUAAAAGACAUUCAUACAUUUGUGGCAUCAUGUUCUGUUUGUUCACAGUGCAAGACUCCUAAGACUUUACUGGCAGGGAAAUUGAUGCCUUUACCCGUUCCUCAGAGACCCUGGUCACAUAUUCCUAUCGACUUUAUUACAGAUUUACCGGUCUCUGAAGGAUUCACCACCAUACUCACCAUUGUAGUCAGAUUUUCCAAGGGUGUAAGAUUUGUGCUGUUCGCAUCUAUUCCCAGUGUUUUCCAGGCUGCCAAUGUCUUCUUCUUCUUACAGGUUUUCAGGACGUUGAGCAUCCCAGAGGAGAUCAUCUCUGAUAGAGGACCCCAGUUCACAUCCCAAGUAAGGUCUGCCUUUUUUGAACGCUUGGGAGUGUCAGUGAGUUUAACAUCAGGUUAUCACCCGCAGUCUAAUGGACAGUGCGAGAGGGUUAACCAAGAGCUGGGAAAAUUCUUGAGGUUGUUUUGUUAUGAGAACCCUCAAGAUUGGUCUAAGUUUUUAGUAUGGGCUGAGAUCGCACAAAAAUCCUUAACCAGUUCUGUUACAGGGGUUACUCUGUUUCAGUGUAUUCUUGGAUUCCAACCACCCAUUGCAACAUAGACUGGAGUCUAGACAAAUGUUCCUGCAGUGGAUUAAUGGAUGGCAAGGAAUGAAAGAUUUUGGGAAGAAACCCAUCAGAGAAUUGAGGAAGCCAUCCGACGCCAAAAGGAACAGGCUGAUCGUCACUGGGGUGCCACAACGAUCUACCAGCUGGGAGAUCAUGCUUGGCUAGCCACCAGGGAUUUCUGCAACACUGAGGGGAGCCCAAGGCCACUGCACAAGGCUACGUCGGAUGCCACUCCUCCCCCACCGGACGUGAUAGAUGGGAAUCUGGUCUAUGCUGUUUGACGGUUGCUGGACUCAUGUAGGCGUGGAGGUCAAUUGCAGUACCUGGUUGACUGGGAGGGUUAUGGUCCGGAGGAGAAGUGUUGGGUGUCGGCUAAGGACGUAUUGGAUCCGGCUCUCAAAGCUGAUUUCUAAAGCCAUCACCCGGGAAAGCUUGCUCCUUAUCCUAGGGACCGCCUUCGUGGUUGUUUGACCAGUUCUCUGCCAGCCAACCUACAACGUUCCCUGAAAGGGGAUUCAUCAGUCCAGCACCUCGGCAGCUCGGUCUCGGUCCCUGUUCACGGAUACGGUAGAUGGCGUGGGGGUCGUCUCGGUCGUCCUCAUUCUGGGGUCUGUUCGGGGGACUCUUUGGGGGGUUACUGUCAUGCCUCGGAUGGACUCCACCAGUGUUGCAAACUCCAUUUCCCAGGAGCAUGAGGGAGAUGACCGGUGAAGAUCGGUCACGCACCUUCUGGUUGCCUGUUUUUGGCUCUGUGCUUUGGACUACUCUAUUUGUGAACUCGACCUUGUUUUUCGGAUUACCCUUUUGCUUGCAUUUGCCUGUUGGAAUGAUCACAACCAUGAUCAUUUGUGCCUUCCUGGUUUUGACCCAUGAUUGCUGUCUGAUGCCAGAUCUGUCUUUUGUAAAUAAAACUGAUCUUGUUACGGAG